rnacentral:rRNA from 1 species
UACGGGGGAUGCAAGCGUUAUCCGGAAUCAUUGGGCGUAAAGCGCCUGUAGGUUGUUUAAUAAGUCUGUUGUUAAAGACUAGGGCUCAACCCUAGAAAAGCAAUGGAUACUACUAGACUAGAGUAUGGCAGGGGUAGAGGGAAUUUCUAGUGUAGCGGUGAAAUGCGUAGAUAUUAGAAAGAACACCGGUGGCGAAAGCGCUCUACUGGACCAUUACUGACACUCAGAGGCGAAAGCUAGGGUAGCAAAAGGGAUUAGAUACCCCUGUAGUCCUAGCCGUAAACGAUGGAUACUAGAUGUUGCGUUUUUAAUGCAGUGUGGUAGCUAACGCGUUAAGUAUCCCGCCUGGGGAGUACGGUCGCAAGGCUG